UGAGACACAUUGCACUUUAUCAAGUCGCCAGUCAUAGUCAUAGUCACAGGCAUACCCAUAGUCAUACUCAUAGUCAGAGAUCAAGGGAGCUCGGGAAAAAUCACAAACUGGGGCUCCAUUGCGAUCCAGGGCCAAAAGGAAAAUUAUAGCGCGAUCACUUAACUCACGAUCGCGAUCGCGAUCAGUUGGGGGCAUUGAGAUUAUCCAGCUACUGGCAACGGAAGUUGCCUCGGACCAUGGAAACGCACGAAGUCACACGCGAAAAAUAUGUCUAGACCUUGGCAACGCACAGUGUUUAGCAAAAAGAAGCAGAGCAGUAGCCACAGCAGCAACCGAAUCCGCAAACAUAGCCUGGCCAACGAGAACGGAGACGCUGGAUCUGGGAGACCGGAGACCGAAGACUGGAGAGCAGGAGAGCCUGGCCUUCUUCUUCUGGGCCGUCAAAAACAAUAAAGUCCAAAACGAGCGAACAAUGUAAAUGGCAAGUCAUGAUUUCGCUGUUAUGCGCUGUUAAAAGGGGCGCUCGCCGUUCGACACGAUCAAGAACAAAAACCAAAAACCCAAAAACAAAAAAGUGUGGGGGCACAGGAUGAGGCUGAGGAUGGGGAUUAUUUUUUUUUUGGUACGGAAUUGGUACUGGGAUUGGGCCAAAAGAUGAGGAGGAUGCUACCGUUGCCAACAACGACGCCAACGCCAAUGCAAACGAUGGCCCGAAGACCAGAAGACAUGACCCAAAACAAUGCACACAGCCCAAAGAGAUCCCAUAUACCGGCCCAGAAGCAAAGUCAGCAGCCUCUGGAGAACCAACAAAAUACUUUACUCAUACUUUAUGCCCAAAAUGCUGGAGAGCCCGCGGGUUGACCAGAUCAAUGCAAUUGUUUGCCCCUUUUUAGUCAAGUUGUGCGCACUUCAUAAGCAAAUACAACAAAUCCAAACAACAACACACACACACAGCCAAAGAAAAGGGCCAAAAGAGCAAACAAUGGAAAUAACCUGGCUUUGAGUGCGGUGCUGCGUUUAUUUUUGUUGGGUUUUUGGAUUGUAUAUUUGGUAGAAAAGAGGAACGGAAAAGGAGUCAAGUCAAGAAGGUAGUUUGGCACUUUGAUUGGAACUACCGAAAAGUGCAGGAGAGAACCACAUUCUUGACGGACAUCGAAGCCUUUGAAUGCCCUACAACAUAUCAAUUUGAAAGAUUAUAUAUUUUAGCUUUAUUAAUUAACUAUCGAAACGGUGAAAGGUAAAGUCAAAGAAGUUGGUAGAACGAAUUGAAAGAUUAACACAAUAAAUCAUACCCAAAGAAUGCAGAUGCUUUUGCUUUUCACAUUUUCAA